CCGAGUUAGGGUCCUUCGUGGCCCGACCUCCCAACCCUGUGUCUAUUUAACCAAUUGUUGCUUCGGCGGACCGGUCUCACGACCGCCGGAGGGGUGUCCAUACCCCUUUGGAGAGCGUCCGUCGAUGGCCCAACUCUAAACUCUUGUACCUAAACGUGUCGUCUAAAUAUUUAUUUGAUACCAAAUCAAAAACA
rnacentral:misc_RNA from 1 species